UAUCGUUUGCUACUUGAAGAGAGGUUAUCCUUUGUGUGUUUGCUUUACGCGAAAUGAAUAUGCAAGGGCAAGCUCUCUUCGAGGAGCAAA
ensembl:miRNA